CCCCCCCCACACACACACCAUGUAUAUAUCUGUUCCUCUUUCUUUGCCUGCUAUUCUCAAGGAUGUUUUGGGUCCUGCUAGUUUGCUGCAAGGAGUUGAAAUAGAGGCUUGGAAAUUCAAAGAUUUCAUGUCACUGAGGUGUUCAGUAACAGCCAACUUAACCGUAGCUGGGUUACAUCUAGUACAUUUUCUGGUUCAGUUCUUGUAUACGGUCCUGUAGGAAUUCAGCAUCUUGUCAAAGGCUUUGUUUAUACUCUAGUACAUUUUCUGGUUCAGUUCUUGUAUAUGGUCCUGUAGGAAUUCAGCAUCUUGUCAAAGGCUUUGUUUAUACCAUAGAUUUAGAGACAGGUCUUGCAGUGCUUCCCAGGCCCGAGGGCAGUGGUAAUUCACAGGCUCAAUCAUUGCAUACUACGGCCAUUCUGAGUAGCCUUUCGCUGCACUCAUCUUAUUUAUACCAUAGGUUUUGGUGAAGCAUUGCAGCUUUUUACUUGAAUUCAUAUUAAAGAACAAUAAAGAAGUAACUAUAUCAUAUCAGGAUUUGGGAGUGUGGAAUUUCCCUGUAACUAUGGGUAAGCAUCCAUCCACCCAGAUAACAGCAUGCUCAAAUACUAGGAAAAGAUACGACAUUCCACUGAGAACCUCGGUCUAGAGGGGGUGUCAGGUAUGUAGACAUAAAACAGUACAGUGGGUGUUUGUAGUACUGACAUUUAAAGUUCAUUGAUCUACAGCCUGGGCAACAUGGCUAAACCCCAUUGACAAAAAAAUACAAAAAUUAACUGGGUGUGACGCACUACCAUCUGGACUACAGUCGCAGCUACUCAGGAGGCUGAAGUGAGAGGAUUGCUUGAAUAUGGGAGGCUGAGGUUGCAGUGACCCAAUACCAUGCCACUGCACUUCAUCCUGGGUAGCAGCAAGACCAGUCUUAAAAUUCAUUGAUUCUACCACUUGCCUUUAUCCCUUGUCACCUCUUUACGUACUUCAUUACCCAGCUUAGAUUCUGUGAUUCAUUGUGACACUCAGCUUUUCAGCCUUGCCCCAUCUCUUGCUUCAUUGUACUUCCCUGGCUAAACUCCAGUUUUGGUUAAGUUUAAUACUCUACUUUCUGUGCACUUAAGUACUUAAUGCAAGUGGACAUGCUGAUUCAGUCUAUUUAAAGUCAUGGCCUCCCCGGGCGCGGUGGUGCGUGCCUGUAGUCCCACUUAGGCUGAGGCAGGAGAAUCACCUGAGUCCAGGAGUUUGAGGCUAUAUUAUGAAAUGAUUGUAUCUGUGAAUAGCCACUGCACUCCAUUCUAGGUACCAUAGCGAGACCCUGACUUGAAAAGUAAAGCCAUGACCUCACAAUCCUAGUACAUUUCUCUAUCCCAUUUACACUUUCUCUUAAAUUUUUAGCACCUUUGCCAUCCUCUCAGCUUAUGACUGUUUUUAAACUUAGAAAUAAAAAUUUCACAGGCUCCUACCAUCACAUGUAUUCACCCACCUGCAUCUGUGCUACUGUCUCUCUUGUAGUUACUAUAGACAGACUGUCCUUGCCUUAUUUAAGGCAAGCUCUUCCACUUGUAUACUAGAUUCCAUCCCUUACCUGUUCAGUGGGCCCAGAUGUGUAGUCAUUUUCCUUCUCUGUCCUGCUCAUUAACUUUCCCCCUAGUAGAUCAUCCCCAUGA